CCUCCCCAGCUCCUGUCAUCUAGCUCUAUAUUGACUUAACCAGUGAUAAAUCUGGGCUGCUGUGUGUGUGUGUGUUUGCGUUAGAGUUGCAUGUUUGUUUUAGCUGCAGCACAUGUUGGCUUAGCACUCAGGGAGGAUUUCUCACCCAUCUUAAAUGCGCUGAAAUUUGUUUACAUGUGUUGCUGCACUCAUUUCCUCGUCACCCCUCCCGCGUGCAGUCGCUCCAGCUCCUUCUGAUCGUCUUCCUCCUCCUGCCAGUCGUAACUUCUGCACUUCCUGUUUCCCCGGCUUUGGCUGUGAUGUCUGGAGCUGAGGUGAGAGGUCGCAGGGACCAGGUGCGCUGGAGCUGGCGUCGACCGGUCCGCCUGCUCCGUUACCUUUGUCUCUCCCGCUGUUAAUCUGGCGCGGUGUAAGCACAUUUUGUUCUAUUGUUCUCCCCAUGAAUAACGUGUUAUGCUAAGCUGCUUUGUCCGCCUGCCACGAUUUUAUGAAAUGAUUUGAACCAGGCGCUGUUGCCAAUGUGUAGACCUGUGUGUAUCUCAGACGGCACAAACUGUGCAGAAGCGGUUUCUUAGUGACAAUAACAGUUCAUAAACUCUUAAUGUGUUAUUGAACAGUUCUAAUCCUUUAAUAAGGCCAACAUCUUCUUUGCAAGGGUGUGAAACGUUAUCUUCACACAAGGUUUUUGUAAAGAUUUUUUUUUCUGCUGGUAGAAAUUCAAAUAUGCUACUUUGCUUUUCAUUUUAUUACACAAAAAAAAAGGUGUGACGGUAAAGUGGAAACUAUCCAGAAGAGAAACAGCUGCAUUACACUGCUAACAGAACUUCAGCUCAUUGCAAGCACCUGCACAGACAGCAUGCUAAUACAAAGCAAACCAAGAACCCAGAGUGAUGUUAAAGCUGAGUGAAUGCCGACCUCAGCCCAGCAGCAUGACUCUGAACUUUAACAGGAAACAGGAUUUCUACCAUCUACUUAAUGAUCAGGACACUGACCUCACAGCCCAGCGUUCGUCAAUAGUGCUACUUUCAGUCGUUGUGCAAAGGUUCUGUCUGUGAGGCUGUGGAAACCUGCAGUCAGCUGUGACUGAAGAAGUCACUUGGAUGAGUGACAAAAUGUUUCUCCCACUGAAAACAUUACUUCCAGAUGAACAGAAUCAACCUUUUGGGGAGGAUUUCUACCGGUUAAUGUUUCUAAAUUAGAAUCACUCUGUUUAAAGUUUCUUUGUGCUGGUUUUCAACUUUGUUUUGUGUUUUCGACUUCAUAAUUAAACAGUACAAGAAAGAUUGUGUCCUCAUUAGGAUGGGGAUUUGUGUGAGUGUGUGGGACUGUAGCCUAUAGGUUUACGUUGUUAACCGCUAAUUAUAAGACAAUGCGUUUCAGGUCAUUUCACAUAGUAAUGUAAAGAGUAGUGAAAAUAAUUUCUUCCUCCAGCAAGUGAUUACGUAACGUCAGAAGUAAUGUGUACUAAAUUACUCUUUCUGAUAAUGAUCCCAACGCUGGUGAGUUCAGACACUGCAGGUAGUUGAUUUGGGAUCUGGGGAGUCUGAAGGCUGUAAUAAAGCCUCUGACUCUUUGUUGUCUUUGUCAUUUUCUUUACAAGCAGUUUUUCCUGCAUGGUGGACAUAUUAUCCUUCGGGCACAAGCUACAGAAGUGCCUUUGGGGGUAUGGGGAGAGGUUCAUGGUCUGCAACGAUGUUAAGGUGGGUGAUACAUGUCAAAGGAGCGUGCACAAUAAUG
rnacentral:lncRNA from 1 species